UAGGGAAUCUUCGGCAAUGGACGAAAGUCUGACCGAGCAACGCCGCGUGAGUGAAGAAGGUUUUCGGAUCGUAAAACUCUGUUGUUAGAGAAGAACAAGGACGUUAGUAACUGAACGUCCCCUGACGGUAUCUAACCAGAAAGCCACGGCUAACUACGUGCCAGCAGCCGCGGUAAUACGUAGGUGGCAAGCGUUGUCCGGAUUUAUUGGGCGUAAAGCGAGCGCAGGCGGUUUCUUAAGUCUGAUGUGAAAGCCCCCGGCUCAACCGGGGAGGGUCCUUGGAAACUGGGAGACUUGAGUGCAGAAGAGGAGAGGGGAAUUCCAUGUGUAGCGGUGAAAUGCGUAGAUAUAUGGAGGAACACCAGUGGCGAAGGCGGCUCUCUGGUCUGUAACUGACGCUGAGGCUCGAAAGCGUGGGGAGCAAACAGG
rnacentral:rRNA from 1 species